rnacentral:misc_RNA from 1 species
AACGCAUAUUGCGCUCGAGCCCUCGGGCAAGAGCAUGUCUGCCUCAGCGUCGGUUUACACCCUCACCCCUCCCAUUUGUUUGGGUGGGAUGGCUCCCAUAGCUAUCCAUAGGGGUGGAUCUGGCUUCCCCAACUUGCAAGUAGGCGGGUUGGGUUGGCUGAAGUGUAGAGGCUUAAGCAAGGACCCUGUAUGGGCUUCAACUGGAUAGGUAGCACCGGCGUUGCCGACUACACGAAGUUGUUGCCUGUGGAUCUUGUUAGGAGCCUAGCAGGAACAUGACUGGUUCAUGUAUACACUUUCGACCUGAGCUCAGGCAAGGCUACCCGCUGAACUUAA